CUUUAAAAAUCUGGAUCAAGCUGAAAAUUGAAACGACACACGAAAGUGUGUUCGAGUCUCUCAAAUUUUCGCGACACGAUGAUGAAUCGAAAGAAACAUCUUCGG
rfam:Kluyvera intestini strain GT-16 tig00000000, whole genome shotgun sequence.